AGAGUUUUGAUCCUGGCUACGAGGACGACGCUGGCGGCGUGCUUAACACAUGCAAGUCGAGCGGUAAGGCCCUUCGGGGUACACGAGCGGCGAACGGGUGAGUAACACGUGGGUGACCUGCCCUCCACUUCGGGAUAAGCCUGGGAAACUGGGUCUAAUACCGGAUAGGACCUCUUGGUGCAUGCCGAGUGGUGGAAAGUUUUUGUCGGUGGGGGAUGGGCCCGCGGUCUAUCAGCUUGUUGGUGGGGUGAUGGCCUACCAAGGCGACGACGGAUAGCCGGCCUGAGAGGGUGAUCGGCCACACUGGGACUGAGACACGGCCCAGACUCCUACGGGAGGCAGCAGUGGGGAAUCUUGCGCAAUGGGCGAAAGCCUGACGCAGCAACGCCGGCGUGAGGGAUGACGGCCUUCGGGUUGUAAACCUCUUUCGCGAUCGACGAAGGCCCGUCUUGUUGGCGGGUUGACGGUAGGUCGAGAAGAAGCACCGGCCAACUACGUG
rnacentral:rRNA from 1 species